AUUGAGCUUUUCAGCCACCGCCUCUUUUCAUCUUCUUUUCUUACCCACCUUUCAGUUCUGUUCCUCUUCUCAACUGUGGUGUUAAAUUUUCAGGAAACAAUGGCGGACUUCUCAUUAUGGGUUUGGAAAACUAAUUUUCGGCUAAAUCUGCUCAUUUUUUCCUCAAUCUGUUUGAUUCUCCCUCCUUAUCAUAUAUGACUUAUAAUUUUUAUUUUUUUGUUUUUAUAGAAGUUCUGAUCGUAUUAUUUUUUGGGAUUUGAAAGUAAGUCAUGAGGGAGACGAACUCCUCAAUCUGUUGGAUGCUCCAUGUGUUCAAUGCAAUGAUUUGUAGAUAUUGUGACAAAGUUCAUUGAGGGACUUAUUGAGGCCUAUUCCAGGUUGCAAUAUCGGAGUGAUUUUCAUGAGGUUAAGGUUGUCUUGAGUGCUGAUGUUUCUGGUGAAAAAGUAUGACAAAAUCGCGUUAAUAUCAGGUCUUCCAUUUGAACUAUGCCCCAUCUCUCUAUUUCAAUACUGGAAUUUUCUUUUCAUUAGUAGCACUAACAAUUGUGCGUUCAAAGCUCCAUAUAUAAGUUGGAAAUGGAUGAAGCUUGAUAGAUUAGUCUAAUUUGUAUAUUGAUGCAACUAGAAAGCUUCUUAUAAUGAGUUAUACUACACUAUAGGGCGUAGCUUGCUCGCCUCUUCUGAAAUAAAAUAAUAAAUUUUUAUGAGAUCCUCGGCAAUUUUGUGCCUAAAACUCAAUACAAUUUUAGUAAUUCCUUAA